AAAUAGCGGAGGAAAAGAAACCAACAGGGAUUGCCUCAGUAACGGCGAGUGAAGCGGCAACAGCUCAAAUUUGAAAUCUGGCUCUUUCAGGGUCCGAGUUGUAAUUUGUAGAAGAUGCUUUGGGUGUAGCUCCGGUCUAAGUUCCUUGGAACAGGACGUCAUAGAGGGUGAGAAUCCCGUAUGUGACUGGGUGCUUUCGCUCGUGUAAAGCUCUUUCGACGAGUCGAGUUGUUUGGGAAUGCAGCUCAAAAUGGGUGGUAAAUUUCAUCUAAAGCUAAAUAUUGGCCAGAGACCGAUAGCGCACAAGUAGAGUGAUCGAAAGAUGAAAAGCACUUUGGAAAGAGAGUUAAACAGUACGUGAAAUUGUUGAAAGGGAAGCGCUUGCAACCAGACUUGCGCGCUGUUGAUCAUCCGAGCUUCUGCCCGGUGCACUCGACAGCGUUCAGGCCAGCAUCGGUUUUGGUGGGCGGAUAAAGGCCUUGGGAAUGUAGCUUCUUUCGGGGAGUGUUAUAGCCCUCGGUGCAAUGCGCCCUACCGGGACCGAGGACCGCGCUCGGCUAGGAUGCUGGCGUAAAAUGGA
rnacentral:rRNA from 1 species